rnacentral:rRNA from 1 species
CUACUUGUAUGACAGGCAUUCAGUUUCAACGCUAACAAAGAGCAUAUGAGGCAACCGCGAAUUGUUCGAGUUGGCCUAAUUCAGAACUCAAUUGUUGUUCCAACGACUUGUCAUUUUGCUGAUCAAAAGAAGUCUAUCAUGGAGAAAUUAAAACCCAUCAUAGAUGCAACUGGUGCUUAUGGUGUCAAUAUUUUGUGCUUACAGGAAGCCUAGACAAUGCCAUUUGCCUUCUGCACGCGCGAAAAACGUUGGUGCGAGUUUGCUGAGGCUGUUGAUGGAGAAUCUACUCGGUUUCUUCAAGAGCUUGCAUGGAAAUAUAACAUGGUAAUUAUUAGCCCGAUCCUCGAAAGGGAUAUAAACCAUGGAGAGAUUAUAUGGAAUACCGUUGUUGUAAUUGGAAAUAAUGGUAACAUAAUUGGCAUUCAUUGAAAUAAUCACAUCCCAAGAGUUGGCGACUUCAAUGAGAGCACGUACUAUAUGGAAGGUGAGACUGGGCAUCCGGUCUUUGAAACAACUUGUGGCAAAAUUGUUGUAAACAUUUGCUACGGCAUGCAUCAUCGUCUCAAUUGGCUUGCAUUUGGCCUCAAUGCAGUUGAAUUAGUUUUCAACCCAUCUGCAACCGUCGGUGAACUCAGUGAACCAAUGUGGCCUAUUGAGGGAAGGAAUGCUGCAAUAGAAAAUAGCUACUUUGUCAGAUCAAUGAACCGGGUAGGCACAGAAGUAUUCCCAAACCCAUUCACUUCUGGUGAUGGGCCUCAGCAUGCCGACUUUGGUCAUUUCUAUGGAUCCAGCCAUUUCUCAGCGCUUGAUGCUUCCUACACCCCGCCACUAUCGCGCUAUCGAGAUGGCUUGAUGAUAUCUGACAUGGACCUUAACUUAUGCCGCCAGAUCAAAGACAAGUGGGCCUUCCGCAUGACUGCUCGGUAUGACAUGUAUGCUAACUUGCUUUCAGAGUACUUGAAGCCAAAUUUUAAGCCUCAAGUCAUUGUCGAUCCCUUGAUAAGUAAGAGGGCUUAA